rnacentral:misc_RNA from 1 species
AUGGUGCCGGGGCAAUGACCUCAGUGA